rnacentral:rRNA from 1 species
CAACCCUUGUUAUUAGUUGCCAGCAUUAAGUUGGGCACUCUAAUGAGACUGCCGGUGACAAACCGGAGGAAGGUGGGGAUGACGUCAAGUCAUCAUGCCCCUUAUGACCUGGGCUACACACGUGCUACAAUGGGCAGUACAACGAGAAGCAAGCCUGCGAAGGCAAGCGAAUCUCUGAAAGCUGUUCUCAGUUCGGACUGCAGUCUGCAACUCGACUGCACGAAGCUGGAAUCGCUAGUAAUCGCGGAUCAGCACGCCGCGGUGAAUACGUUCCCGGGCCUUGUACACACCGCCCGUCACACCAUGGGANUUCUGCAAUGCCCAAAGCCGGUGGCCUAACCUUCGGGAAG